rnacentral:rRNA from 1 species
GACGAACGCUGGCGGCGUGCUUAACACAUGCAAGUCGAACGAUGAACCCGGAGCUGCUCCGGCGGUAUAGUGGCGAACGGGUGAGUAACACGUGAGUAACCUGCCCUUGACUCUGGGAUAACUGCUAGAAAUGGUAGCUAAUACCGGAUACGACCCUCGGUGGCAUCACCAGGGGGUGGAAAGAAUUUCGGUCAAGGAUGGACUUGCGGCCUAUCAGCUAGGUGGUGAGGUAACGGCAUACCAAGGCGACGACGGGUAGCCGGCCUGAGAGGGUCACGCGCCACACUGGGACUGAGACACGGCCCAGACUCCUACGAGAGGCAGCAGUGGGGAAUAUUGCACAAUGGGCGCAAGCCUGAUGCAGCGACGCCGCGUGGGUGAUGACGGCCUUCGGGUUGUAAACCUCUUUCAGCUAUGACGAAGCGCAAGUGACGGUAGUAGCAGAAGAAGGACCGGCCAACUACGUGCCAGCAGCCGCCGCAG